UGGGCGCCGGGCCGCGCCUGCUGCGCGACUGGCUGCCGGCCUGGCCCGGGGUGAGCGCCGGUCGCCAGGCCGUGGCUGGCGGGGAGGCUCCGUCAGGGACCCUGCAAACUGUGCUGGGCCCCAUCACAUGAAGUCGCCCCUUCGUUCAGCCGGGCAGCGUGGGGAGGCUGCGGGCGCUGCCUGCAACGGUGCUGGGAGAAAAGCCUUGCCUGAAAGUAGCGUGACACGCUAAAAAUCACCUUCAGCCAGAAGCUGCGGCUGCACCCGAGGAUCAGGCAAAGCGGUCUCUCGGUUUUCGCCUUCCCCUUGUCUCAAAGCUAAGUUGAAGCCCACCUCUGGAGAGAACUCGCGGCCCGGCGUGAGGGAAAGGGGCCGGGUACGCGUCUGGCGGUGGGAUGCAGCGUGCAAGGCGCCUACAGGAACUGGGCUGCUGCUGACUCAGGAGCUGCAUCAAGUCUGAGGAAUGGGGUCACAUUUCCUGAGUGCCUGAGACAUGCUGCAGUGAGCAAUGGGAUAGUGACAGGCACCUCCUACCUGCUGUCCCAUCUUGGAAGAGCGAUCACAGCCCUGUGCCGUAAGGAGCUGAAGCCCGCUGCUGUGGUGAUGGGCACUGUUCUACUUCCAGCAAUGUUGGGACUAAUCAUGUGAGAAAAGAUCCUGGAGUGAUGAGGCAGCAUAUUUCCCAUGUUUGAGGUCAGGAUUUGUUCUGUGAAGCUGACCUUUAAAACAGCCUGAAAAUGAGGAACGUGGCACCAGAGAGCAGAGCAGGAAGCAUGAAAUGAUGAAAUGCAAGAGUCUCCCAUGCAGUUUUCCAGAGGCCCACAUGCCUCUGGAAAGCAGUAGAAGUAUCUGCAUGAGCAAAAAGCUCCAUCCCAGGAAGAUACAGAGGGUGUAAGAAGAAUAAAACUGCGGCUGGAGAGAUCGAAAUGGCUUAGCUGGGGCACCAGGUGAAGUCCUGCAAUGGCUGGUCUUAUUUGCAAAGACUGCAGCUGAAAACAGACCCGGGCAACAGCUGAUCCAGACUAUUCCCAGCCUUUGGGGAACAUUCAGUUUUGGAUCUGAAGGACCCAUGUUUUAGGCUAAACUGAACCCAUGAGUAUAAAACUUCCUCAAAACUCUGGGGAGAUGUUGCUUUUGACCUCACUCUGUAGGUUGGAUCCUUUGCUUAGUCACUAGCUGGAUGAUGGUUGUUCUCAGUGUCAGGAAAAUAUCUACCUUUGCUCUCUGGCUCAGAUUAGAUUACUGUUGCCUCCCAGUUUAUCUGCUUUUAUAUACACAUCCUGCUGCUAUAUGUGGGUAAAAUAAAUGGCUAGUCAUUUUACACUCUUUCCUUUUAGCUUGUUGAUCACAGGAUUCAGUCAUAUGCAUAGUAAUGUGUAAUUGAAGGGUGGUGGCUUUGCCCAGCUGGCUUAGAUCUCACCUCUGAGCCCGUACUCAAAAAGACCUACCUAUUCUGAGCAGCGUGGGAAGCUCUCCAGGGCGCAGAAUGUGAGAAGUAAUCAAUUCCUGUAGAAAUGUUUCCACGAUGUCAUGGAAUCCAGCCAAGAGACAUGAUGAAAGUGAAAACUGUUUUCUAGGACAUCCAGUUUCAUUUGAUUUAGUCAUGCCCAUAGAGCUUCUCAGCAAACGUCUGUACCCUUCUGUGUGUUGAUCGUGUCCUGUGUCCUUUUGUGAUUUGGUUACCCUGGCAAUCCAACUAAUUUUCCAGAAAAGUCAGCUCCAUCAAAGUUCAUUGACUUGUUACAUUAAUGGUCUGCUUGCUCCUUCAGUAGACUCAGCAUCCAUUGAUUGCAGGUUCUUUCAUAGGCUUGGACAUUUAUGAGAAGAGAUCUGCAGAGGGUUAUGCCCUGGCAUGCUUGAUUGGAGCUGAUAUUUUUUUUUUCCUUGUUUCUUCUUCACUUUAGCUGGACUGAUCAUCUUUCAUGUUUCUUGAAACGCUAGGGCAGCUUUUCUACAUAUUACCAGGCUUCUGUUCCAGCAGGUUCUCUACAGGAGUGAAGUUUUCCGGUAAAAGUCUUUUCUUGCAUGUCUCUUUUCCAUGUGUUUGCACAAUAGUUUUACUUGAAAAAGUCUCAGCAUCAUUUCUGUCUCUAGGCAAGCCACACAGGGACCAAUGCAUAGCGAGUUCAUCUAUAUUUUCCACUUGAAUUUAGCAUUUUUUAGAGCUUGAGGAUUAAGAGAUACAGCCUAAAACAUACUUAAAUAUACCACAACACUGAGCAUUCAAAUGCCUGGCUCACUGAAUGCCAUGUGGGGUGCUUGCACUCUACAUGGGCAGAGUCAGGUGCCUCAAAAGAACAGAAUCUGACUGCAUAAGGAGCUGCCUGCACCAGCCAACAGAAGACACAAGCCUGGAAGGGGAAGUCAUAUGGGGAAGCCCAUGCAGUCAAGAGCUACUUACAUAUAAGAAAUAAUUAAAAAAUAAAAAAAAAAAACCAACUAAACGUGAAAUGUUAACCAGAGGUUGACCCAUCUCCUUUGGUAUCUCCCUCACUUCUUUGCCCAUGUUUGGGAGAGAAUACAGCCUGCACAUUCUCCUCAGGAUACUGGCAAUGGAGAGGAUUGCUGCAAGCUGAAGCACGUGGGAGGAGGAGGAGUGGAGACUGAGGUGAUGAAGGGGUGGCAGAACAGGCCUGGGAAGCUUCCUGAAGCUUUUACUGCAGCAAGCCCAAGCAAGGGCCAUCUCUUUUUAUAGAGGUAUAGUCAUGGGGUUUUCUUUGAGGAGUCCACCAUAAGCCAAAUCCUGCGAGUGCUCUGGAUCUCAGAACAUCGGGGUUUCAGGCUUGUUCAAAGGCCAGGCUCCUCCCAGCUGGAAGGCUGGUACUAUGGAGGAAAAAAUGAGGCUGUACCAACUCCAACUCCAUUCCGGGCACUGUGAUUUUUUGAGAGCAAUGUCAGGAUCCCAGCAGAGGAAGGAGAAGACAUGUGGCACUAAGGAGAUUUCUUCACUGAGAUAGAGCGAGCAACUUGUCAUCACAGCUGCCCUUGAAGUUGGGUGAUUCUCCCUUUCUCAUAAGGCCGCUUGCAUGCACAACGAGCACUGCAGAACUAAAUAAAAUCCCAGGCGUGGGUGGCACUACUCACCAGCUCCACUUGCCAAGAAGUCCCCAUAUACAGGGGCAGCAAUAACUCCUCCAAAAAGCUUCUGCACCCCAGGGUGGAGAAGGCCUCCCAGCACCAAUCCAAUGUGGUGCCGACACGUGCUAAAAAGGCUAGGCUGGAGACAGCGAUCCAGGUGAGGAUAUGCCUUCCUGAGAAGUCACAAGGUGGCCAUGUAGAAGCCCUGGGCUUUCCAAACAGUUUCGAGGGCCUGCCUGUUGCUUCUCUCAGGAGCACGCGUG